rnacentral:rRNA from 1 species
UCUGUGAAAUUCCGGGGCUUAANUCCGGGCGUGCAGGCGAUACGGGCACGACUAGAGUGCUGUAGGGGUAACUGGAAUUCCUGGUGUAGCGGUGAAAUGCGCAGAUNUCAGGAGGAACACCGAUGGCGAAGGCAGGUUACUGGGCAGUUACUGACGCUGAGGAGCGAAAGCAUGGGGAGCGAACAGGAUUAGAUACCCUGGUAGUCCAUGCUGUAAACGGUGGGCGCUAGGUGUGGGCUGUGUGUUUGCAGUCUGUGCCGUAGCUAACGCAUUAAGCGCCCCGCCUGGGGAGUACGGCCGCAAGGCUAAAACUCAAAGGAAUUGACGGGGGCCCGCACAAGCGGCGGAGCAUGUGGAUUAAUUCGAUGCAACGCGAAGAACCUUACCUGGGUUUGACAUGCACCAGAUCGGCGUAGAGAUACGUUUUCCCUUGUGGUUGGUGCACAGGUGGUGCAUGGUUGUCGUCAGCUCGUGUCGUGAGAUGUUGGGUUAAGUCCCGCAACGAGCGCAACCCUUGUCUUAUGUUGCCAGCACAUUUUUUGGUGGGGACUCAUGAGAAACUGCCGGGGUCAACUCGGAGGAAGGUGGGGAUGACGUCAAAUCAUCAUGCCCUUUAUACCCAGGGCUUCACACAUGCUACAAUGGUCGGUACAACGGGUUGCGACACUGUGAAGUGAAGCUAAUCUCUGAAAGCCGGCCUCAGUUCGGAUUGGGGUCUGCAACUCGACCCCAUGAAGUCGGAGUCGCUAGUAAUCGCAGAUCAGCAACGCUGCGGUGAAUACGUUCCCGGGCCUUGUACACACCGCCCGUCACGUCAUGAAAGUUGGUAACACCCGAAGCCCAUGGCCUAACCACCACUUGUGGUGGGGGGAGUGGUCGAAGGUGGGA